UUCCCCUAKUACCUGCGAGGAAGCGGGAAAAGCUCAAAUUUAAAAUCUGGCAGUCUUUGGCUGUCCGAGUUGUAAUCUAGAGAAGUGUUGCCCACACUGGACCGUGUAUAAGUCUUCUGGAAUGAAGCGUCAUAGAGGGUGAGAAUCCCGUCUUUGACAUGGACUCCCAGUGUAUUGUGGCGUGCUCUCAAAGAGUCGAGUUGUUUGGGAAUGCAGCUCUAAAUGGGUGGUAACCUCCAUCUAAAGCUAAAUAUUGGCGAGAGACCGAUAGUGAACAAGUACCGUGAGGGAAAGAUGAAAAGAACUUUGGAAAGAGAGUUAAACAGUACGUGAAAUUGUUGAAAGGGAAACGCUUGAAGUCAGUCACAUUGGCCAGGGAUCAGCCCAGCUCUUUUGCUGAGUGUACUUCCUGGUUUGAUGGGCCAAUGUCAGUUUUGACUGCCAGAGAAGGGCAAAGGGAAUGUGGCACCUUCCGGGGUGUGUUAUAGCCUUUUGUCAUAUAUGGCAGUUGGGACUGAGGAAUGCAGCGCGCCCACGAGGGCCGGGUUUCGACCACGUUCGCGCUUUGGAUGUUGGCAAUAAUGGCUUUAAUCGACCCGUCUUGAAACACGGACCAAGGAGUCUAACAUAUCUGCGAGUGUUUGGGUGGAAAACCCGAGCGCACAAUGAAAGUGAAAGUUGAGAUCCCUGUCGUGGGGAGCAUCGACGCCCGGACCUGAGCUUUUUAGCAAUGGAUCUGCGGUAGAGCAUGUAUGUUGGGACCCGAAAGAUGGUGAACUAUGCCUGAAUAGGGCGAAGCCAGAGGAAACUCUGGUGGAGGCUCGUAGCGAUUCUGACGU
rnacentral:rRNA from 1 species